GACGAACGCUGGCGGCGUGCUUAACACAUGCAAGUCGAACGGUGAAGCUCCAGCUUGCUGGAGUGGAUCAGUGGCGAACGGGUGAGUAACACGUGAGCAACCUGCCCCUGACUCUGGAAUAAGCGCUGGAAACGGCGUCUAAUACUGGAUACGAGAAGGGUCCGCAUGGGCACUUUCUGGAAAGUUUUUCGGUUGGGGAUGGGCUCGCGGCCUAUCAGCUUGUUGGUGAGGUAAUGGCUCACCAAGGCGACGACGGGUAGCCGGCCUGAGAGGGCGACCGGCCCACACGGGACCGGAGAAAGGGCCCAAAUUCCACCGGGGGCAAGAGGUGGGAAUAUUGCACAAUGGGCGAAAGCCUGAUGCAGCGACGCCGCGUGAGGGAUGACGGCCUUCGGGUUGUAAACCUCUUUCAGCAGGGAAGAAGCGAAAGUGACGGUACCUGCAGAAGAAGCACCGGCUAACUACGUG
rnacentral:rRNA from 1 species